rnacentral:ncRNA from 2 species
AACAGGGAAGCCGGUGCAAUGCCGGCGCGGCCCCCGCCACUGUAACCGGGGACGAAGGCGGAACGACCACUGGGCGAACGGCCACGACGGCCGAAGAUCCUGGGAAGGUCCGCCGGAGGACGAUCCGGGAGCCAGGAAACCU